UACGGAGGGUGCGAGCGUUUGUCCGGAAUCACUGGGCGUAAAGGGCGCGUAGGUGGCGACGCAAGUCAACGGUGAAAGCUCGACGCUCAACGUCGAGUCGGCCGUCGAUACUGCAUCGCUGGAGCACUGUAGAGGCAGAUGGAAUUCCGGGUGUAGCGGUGGAAUGCGUAGAGAUCCGGAAGAACGCCGGUGGCGAAGGCGGUCUGCUGGGCAGUUGCU
rnacentral:rRNA from 1 species